CCCUGGUUAUCUCAAUUGGUAGAGCGCUCCACCUGUAAUGGAGAGCUCCCGGGUUCGAUACCCGGACCAGGCG
rnacentral:tRNA from 1 species